AAGUGUGACGAGGCCAACAUUAUCAACACAAGACUCAGCACGUGCACUGUGUAACUUAUCCUACAAUAAGUAAAUACAUCAAUAACAAUAAACGACACAGAGGCUAAAGUGUCAUCACCACAGUGGACAUCAGAUGUCCCAGUGCACUGAGAGUACCUACCCAGUGGCUGUGGAGCAGACAUGCAGGUGCCAGAGAUGAGGAGCACCAUUGCCACGAGUAUCAGCAGUCGGCGCAUGAUGAGACAACUCGACCGUCUGGAGGACAACUGUGAACGUUCAAGAAAUUCGCUUCGAAAUUCUGCUGAAUGUGAAUAUGGUCUCGUGGGCAUCAACCUAUUUAUACUGGCAGCUCCCCACUCGGAAUGUGCGUCGCAGGAUGUCUUCUGUCUGGAAAGUUCACAAAGGUCACUAAGGAAUGUGUUUCUCAGAAAGAAGUGACACAAAAGGUCAGAUACUGCGUGUGUUUGCGCUGUUAAAGCAAGUUUUGCUGAGUUAUUUCUGAGAGUAUUUCAUUCUUGAACAUGUUCUGGUGAUCUUACCAAAGGGGUUAAUGUCAUGUGACUUUGAUGUCAAUUUGUGGUCACAACGAGCAAAGCCACUCCCACUGGUCCCUAGCGCGAGCAAGAGGAGAGAGACGAGAGAGAGAUGAUCACAUGUCACGUGAUCCAAGUGGAGCUGCUCCUGAGAUUUGUGGAAUAUAAUUUCUAGUUCUUUCCCUGCUGUCACCGGCUGAGAUACGGCUACUCGUCCAUAGCUUGCAGUAGAUACAUGCAGGACUGAUAGUAGGUUCUCUUACUGCUCGUUCCUGUUUUCCCGUAAACAUUUGUUUACAAAGGGAGACAAAUACUACGUCCCCCGCCACACACACAGACAUCGCUCCCAAAGGAGAACCGUUUACCAAUAAAAAUAAAGGAAUAAUUAUACAUUUAUUUAUUAUUUACUUAAAUAAUAAACAUAGGUUUACAUGUUA